rnacentral:rRNA from 1 species
UACCAGCACCCCGAGUGGUCGGGACGUUUAUUGGGCGUAAAGAGCUCGUAGGCGGCUUGUCGCGUCGGCUGUGAAAACCUGGGGCUCAACCCCGGGCCUGCAGCCGAUACGGGCAAGCUAGAAUUCGGUAGGGGAGACUGGAAUUCCUGGUGUAGCGGUGAAAUGCGCAGAUAUCAGGAGGAACACCGGUGGCGAAGGCGGGUCUCUGGGCCGAAAUUGACGCUGAGGAGCGAAAGCGUGGGGAGCGAACAGG